ensembl:lncRNA
CCUCAACCCUUUCCUUUUGCAUUUCGCGGAAGUUACAGCAGAGCUACAGCGCUGCUCAGCUCCUCGGGGCUCGGGGACACCACAGGCUCUGCGAGUUGCAGGAGAAAACAGCGGGAGAAAAGUCCGGGGGGUGAGCGGCCGGGGGGGCGUGUGUGGGUGUAGCUUGGCAUCUCCCAAAGCCCCCCCCCCCCCCCCCCCCCCCCCCCCCAGUGCGUGCAGUCCGACAGCUACCGAGGAAAAACAGCGAACGGUAAACGAUUGCAAAUCAGAAUAAUAACAUAACUGCACUUGUAGCCGCGGAGAAUUAGCCAGCCAGCGCUACUUAAACAAACAGAACAAAGCUUGUCCCGUCUUUCAUUAUUUUUAGAGGGGAGAGAGCCGAGGAACUCUUCCAAACACAAACAAACGAGCGAACAAAUCGCGCCGUCCUUCUGCGCGGUGCCGCGGCCGCUCCGGCCUCGGCCUGGGCGACAGCGGGCACGGCCCGGGCUUCCCUCCCACCGCCAUGGAGAGGGGAAUACAAUUAGCAGAGCCUGGCCGGGCUGCGAGAAAGCCGGGCCGAAGCGGGGGGACGCGGUUGUUGGGAACGCGCCCCUGCUAAAAGCAAGCCAGGGGAGAAUUAUUGUUAUCAUUAUUAAUAAUUAUUUCAUUAAAAGAUAUCCAAGCAGCGAGGUAAAAGAUUGCCUACGUAGAGGAAAAAGGUUGCCCGCACCUCGUAGUGAGGGAGAACGCGACCCUCCCCUCCCCUCGCCAAAAAGAAGGCAAAAGUGGAAAUCUCGAAGUUCGCAGAAGCGCCCUCGAGCGCGGCUGCCGCCCGGGGAGCGCUACUGGCGCGGGUCGCGGACUCACCUCUGCAGCGCCAAAGAGGCUCGCAAACACCUCGAAGACAAGUUGAAAACGAUGCAAAUAAAUCGAAUUUAUUUCCGUCUGCAGAUUGGGGGGUGAAGAAGAAGGAAAAAAAAAAUGCCGGGAUAAAGGAGGCAAGCCCAGGCUCCCUAGGAUUGUAAUGUCAAGGCGAGGGAGCCUUCCAGCUAGAAGCCGAUUUGUGGUCUCAAACAAAUUAAAUAUUACUGUUUAUUACCAGCCAUACUCCAAUAAAAUAAAGAGAGUUCAAGGCGAUAGCUGCUAUCUCACGAGCUUUGCUCCUAUAGGACACGGAGACGUCACCAACCACGCAACUGGCCUAUUCUGUCAUGGUUGACUGCAGCAGUAAUGGAAGAAAGAGAGAGGAGGAGGAGGAGGAAGAGGAGGAGAAAUAGGGAGAGGGAGAAAAAGAAGGAGCAUCACUUAAAGAAGAGCGAGAAGUUGCUGCAGGACUGGGGUGUCAAUCAGGACUUUAUCUCGGGCCGAAGGAGAAAAUAAAAGAAGAUAAGGCCUCGCUCUCACCCUGGGAAGAAAGCUAAUGGGGCAAGAGGGGGAAAGUCUUCAGCGCCCCGUGCCUCUCCCGGAUAGUGUUCUUGUAGUGACCUUGAGCUGCUGCCGGGGUGGGCAGAAGGGCCUGAGCCGAGCGGCUGCUCCCAUCCUCUGCCCGAGGGACACCUGCGAUUUUCAGUUGUCCCCUCCUUUGCCCCAAGGCGGCCCCACCGCCGCCCGUGGAAGCCGACCCCCGGCGUCGCGCAGCCCCCGGGCCCGCUUCCUCCCUCCCUGACAUCCUUCCUAUUUUUUUUCUUUCUCAUCUUCCUCCUUGCCAAUCCCUCUCUCCUUCUUCCUUCCUUUUCUCGUUUUUCCUUUUUUUUUCCCCUCUCCCCACGUCCUCCAUCUUCCCCCCUUCUCCCGCCCCCGCCCCGCACAGCGAAAACUCAGACAAGGCUGGCAGAGCCGUCGUGAGCACAUCCUUCACCUUAACCGAACCUCACAAAUUUCGGGACCCUUUCCUAGCCCCAUUACCAACCCCACUCCCAGACUCAAUUCCCAGCCCCGUUCUCAUCCCCAUUCACAGCCCCGCGUCUCGUACUACGGCCGUAACCCGGCUCCGUGUGGCUGCCCCGGGCAUCCCAGAAAUACUCGCUGUGCUCAAGGUGAAAAUACAGAUUAUACAUAUCACCUAAGCGGCUCCUGAAAAGUUUGGUUUGUUUUCUUCAGCUCACGUUAAGCGCAAAAAAAAAAAUAGAAUGGGUGAAAGGGGGCAUUCGCUUUCACCAAAAAAGAGCAUUUCCCCCCGGUCCAUGCCCUCGUCCUUUGUGCAAAGGUUGGAUGAGGCCAACGUGGUAAACGCGUAAAUCUGUAGAUCUGUGAGCGCAGAGAGGAGCUGGGAUUGGGACGGGCAGAACCAGCGGCUGCAGACGGUGAGGCCGGACCGUACUCUGCUGCCGGGACUGGGAGAUAUCCCGAGAGCUUUCAUCCUCACAGAGGUGAGGAUCCGGGUGCGAAGAGCCGCUCUGGUUGGCACAGGGUUUGGUGAAGCCAAUGUCUCGCAAGGACACGUGCACGCGCACCUCUACAUCGCAGUAAAAAUUAGACCUUUUCCACGUGCACCGAAACGGAUAUGUGCUUGUCUCGUUUGGUCCGGACGGAGCAGUGGCUGUGUGCACAGAAAAACGUGCUUCGAGAGAACACUCGGAGCUCAUUCCGUGCCCGUCUGCUCUGGGAGGCGGACGUGCACGUUUACCUGCUCGGCUGCGCUGUCGCGGGCUGCGGGAGCGGAUCUCCUGCCUUCGGGAGCACACUUUAGGCAUCACGCGAUUGGAAACCAUUCGUUUCCGACGAAUAUUUUCUUUUAUUCGGGGAAAAAUAAUCUGCUCCGACCUCAGUGCCAACGACUCCGAGCAGAGAGCCGGGCGUUACCUGCGGGUCCGGACUCCGAACCCCCCCACCCGCACCCGUGGCCGCAGCAGCGUCGCUCGAGACAAUGCCUAUUUUCUGUCAUUAAUAACUCGUUUCUUUAAGGGAAAAAAAAAAAAUCUCGUUUGGAUUCAAGAUUGUUUUUUAUGAUUCAGUUGGACAAGACGGAACACAUGUUAGUUUAAGCAGGUUCAUGAAAUAGCUGUAAAUCAAAUAAAGUUUACGAGUUUAGCAGGAAAUACUGAAUAGAUGAAAAAAAAAAAAAAAAAACCCUCAGCCGAGGCAGAGAACAGCGGGCUGAAAGAGCCGGUGGAGUUUGUCCUGCUCUGUGUUUCUCUCUGUUCUCUCGUGCAUCUUGCCGAUUAAAGGCCUCGAGACCCCGUGUUGGCG